CUCAGGACGAACGCUGGCGGCGUAGCGUUAAACACAGUGCGAAGUCGAACGGAAAGGUCGUCUUCGGAGAUACUCGAGUGGCGAACGGGUGAGUAACACGUGGGUAAGUCUGCCCUGCACUUCGGGAUAAGCCUGGGAAACUGGGUCUAAUACCGAAUAGGACCAUUUAGCACGUGCUUUAUGGUGGAAAGCUUUUGCGGUGUGGGAUGGGCCCGCGGCCUAUCAGCUUGUUGGUGGGGUGACGGCCUACCAAGGCGACGACGGGUAGCCGGCCUGAGAGGGUGUCCGGCCACACUGGGACUGAGAUACGGCCCAGACUCCUACGGGAGGCAGCAGUGGGGAAUAUUGCACAAUGGGCGCAAGCCUGAUGCAGCCGACGCCGCGUGGGGGAUGACGGCCUUCGGGUUGUAAACCUCUUUCACCAUCGACGAAGGUCCGGGUUCUCUCGGAUUGACGGUAGGUGGAGAAGAAGCACCGGCCAACUACGUGCCAGCCGCCGC
rnacentral:rRNA from 1 species